rnacentral:lncRNA from 12 species
GAGAUUGAAGCUGAGAACAUGUGAAGAGUUUCCUUCAAUUUAUAAUGCUUUGAUUAUAGUGAAGGAGAAGAGAUAAGUUCCUUUCCUUCCUGACUUCUUCUAAUCAAGGAAGAAGAACUGUGCUCAGAGAAGCAGCAAGGACGCCAGGCAGGAGCCCUGAUAUGUCAUUAUUACCUGCGUCUUAGAAAUC